UGUCUGAGUGGUAAAGGGCUUGGCUUAUGAACAGAAGUCCCAGGUUCGAAUCCUGG
rnacentral:tRNA from 1 species